rnacentral:lncRNA from 1 species
CAAACUAUAACGUUUAUGUAGCACCCACAACUCUAGAACUAAUAAACUAUGAAAUUAAAGGAAGAGAAGAGAAGAAAAACUAGUUAGAAGUCUCCUACAAGCGUGAUUUGCAUUCUCCCCUCUAAAGUGGCGUGUUCUCCUUCAAAGUAUGCUAGAUCCCCUCUAAAUUUGGUUAAGAAUCCCUUUUUAUACGAGUUGGGACGUGUAGGGCCCAAAAAGAUCUUCUCUAAGUCGAAAUAGGACAAUUCUCGGGAUUGGGCACCCUGGACAACACAUCGCACUAGCUUGGAUGCCGAAAAUUUUAAUCUUCUGUUUCUAGUGCCACAGGUAGCGCGUCUGGAUGCUAGAAUUCGGCACUUGUCCAUUUUUCUUCUUUUUCGGCUCCAACUCAUGCGUAUUCAAUCCAUUUCACUUCCAAUUAAUUCCUACACAUAUAAAUACCAAAAUUUAGCUCAACUCAUUGCAAUUACACAUUAGAACAACCAAGAAUAUAGCAAAAUGUGAGGCAUAUACAAAAGUACAUACUUUUGGCCGAACAUUAGUAUACGUACUAAAUUAUGAUGAAAUUUAUGCAUUAUUUUAGAUGAGAUUUAAUGUGAAAUAAAUUAAAUUUUUAUGUAAAGUAAACUGCCACGACACAGAAUUCUCACCCUCAGGACCGUGAUGGCACCUAACAUUUCACUUGUUAGGCAAACUAAUGUUAGAUGUAGUUAUUAACCAAUUUUAAUAAUUCAAACCAAAUGAAAACCAAUAAGCUAAAUAAACUUAAAUAAAGUAGAUAAAUUUGAUAUACGGCAAUAACCAAAUACAAAUUCCAGAACUUGUGUCACGAAUACACGAGCGUCUAGAGUACUACAAAUAAUAGUCUGAAUAUAAGCAUAACUAUCUGAAUUGAAAUAAACAACUAGAGUAAUGUAGAAGGGGAAAUGCAGUGCAGUUGUACCUCAAGUCUCCAUCAAGUACCAGAUCCGAGCAAUCUACUUACCGCCGCUAGGACAGAUUCCAAAAUCUGUACAAAAAGUGCAGAAUGUAAUAUGAGUACAACCGACCCCAUGUACUCUGUAAGUGUCGAGUCUAAUCUUGACGAAGUAGUGACGAGUCUAAGACGGGUCACUUACAAUAACAUGUACGCAGUAUACUAAUAAUAUUAGAAAAAAGGAAAGAGGAAGUAAGGCAGUUAACUUAUGAAAAAGAAUUCAAUUCUUGUAAUUAGAGGACCUAGAAAAACCGAUCUCAUAAUUUCAUGUAACAACACAGGAAAUCAACACAAUAAUAAUGAAUACAACACACACAAUCCGUUGCGGCGUGCAACCCGAUCCUACCGUAACACAUAUACUCUCGUAUUUCACUAUAUCAAUAUCAAGAAUCACAUAUAAAAUCCGUUGCGGCGCGCAACCCGAUCCCACCAUAUAAUCAAAAUCAAUAUCAUAAUCCUCCCUUGUUUCACCAUGUCAUAAUUUAUCAAUAUCAAGUAUUAUGUACACAACCCUUUGCAGCAUGCAACCCGAUCCCACCACAAAUAAAUUCAACAAAUGUAAUCAAUCCAACAACUCAAUUCACAAGAAUCUCUACGAUUAAAGGAUAUGAAAGCAAAUCAAUAAAGGAACCGCGUAGCAAUUAAUUAUGGCAAGUAGCAAUUACACAUCACACAUGUAAUUCACAUAACAUAUAGUUCAAGAGUUCCUAAUCCCUCGCUUCACAACCAAAUCACAGCUCAACCGGGGCAUUUCCUCUAAAAUCCGCUUCCAAACCAAUCGAAUCUAACCAAAAUCGAUUUAAUAUUAUCAAACAAUCCUAGGGAAAUCAAUUACAAUAGAUAAAUAAAAGAUCUUUAUACUUUUCCCCAAAAGUCAAUAAAAGUCAACCCUGGGCCCGCUUGGUCAAAACCUGAGAUUCGGACUAAACCCAAUUACCCAUUCAUCCCCGAGCCCGAUUGUGUGAUUAGUUUCAAAAUUCGACCUCAAUUUGAGGUCUAAAUCUCAAUUUUACAAAAAACAAAUCCAAUUCUAUCCAAAUCCCUAAUUUUCUACCAUGAAAGAGUGUAGAUUAAGGUUAAAAAUCAGCGGGUGUUGAUGAAAAUGGAAGAAAACGAGUUAAAAUAUAUUAACCUAUGACGUGAGAAUAAAAUUCUUCUUCAAAAUCACCUCUAGGCCGAGAUCUAAUGUGAGGAUGGUGAAAAAUAAGGAAAUUCCCGUCUUUGGGAUAUUUUAAAUCACUAGCGUCAGGUCUUCAUCGCGUUCGCGAAGCACAACAACCCUAUUGGCCUUUGCGUUCGCGAGAUGCGCUACGCGCUCGCGAUGGCUCUGCCCCCUGGCCUUCACAUUCACAACCCUCCGAUGGCGUUCGCGUAGAACACACAACUGAUCCCCCUUCCAGGCCCAUACCCAUUGCGUUUGUGCAGCUUUGGUCGCGUUCGCGAAGGGUGAUCCCAUCAUUGCUCCACGUUCGUGACCUCAGGCUCGCGUUCGCAUAGAGGAAAUUCCACCCCAGCCCAGAUUACUCUUCGCGAUUGCGAAGAAGGAUGUACCAGAUAUCAGAAAACUCAGAACUGGCAAUUGCCUAAGUCCAAAAAUCCAGAUCAUGUAUUUACAUCGGUCAAUACUCUACCUCAAGGAGCUAAGAGACCAUACAGGUUGGAUUUGAUGCAAAUGGCCACUUAAGACAUAAGCAUAGGAAAAACUAUUUUUUAUGAUAGGAUGUCCUCUUUUUGUUAAGUUACCUAUUGUUAAUUGGUAGCAUGUUUUGUAAGUUUUUGCAACCUUUUUAUAGAGAGGGUUCACAUAAGGAGGUAAACUGGGAUAACUGAUCUAUCUCUCUGUUGUAACUAAUUUUUUGGAUGAAUGAAAGGAAUGCGCCACGUAUGGCGAAACUUCAUUUAAAAAAAUUUGCCUAAGUCCAAAAACCACUGCGUAGGCCAUUUGAAACUCAUUCGAGCCCUUCGGGCUCCAAACCAAACAUGCAUACAACUGUAAUAACAUUAUACGUCAUUUCUCGCGCGACCAAAACACCAAAAUAACACCUAAAACUACGAAUCGGACAUCAAAAUGAACGAUAUUUUUAAAGAAACUCAAGAACAUGCAAAUUUAUAAUCGGACUUCCGAAUCACGUCAAAUCAACUCUGUUUUGCAAUAAAUUUUGCAGACAGGUCAUAAAUAGUGAAAUGAACUUAUACCAAGUUUCGGAACCAAAAUCCGAACUCGAUAGCAAAAAAGUCAACCUACGGUCAAACUUAGGAAUUCUUUAAACCUUCAAAUUACUAGUUUUCAACAAAUCAUGUUAAAUCAAGAUAGGGACUUUCGAAUUCGAUUUCGGGCAUACGCCCAACUCCCAAAUCACGAUAUGGACCCACCGGGACCGUCAAAAUACUGAUCCGGGUCUGUUUACACAAAAGGUUGACCAUUCUCAAAUCAUUUUUAAGGCUAAGUUUCAUAUUUUGUUUUUCAAUUUUUCACCUAAAAAUCUUCUGGAAAAAGACACGGACUGCACACAUAAAUUGAAGAAGGUUAAACGAAGCUAUUCGAAGUCUCGGACACAGAAAUGAAGGCUAACACUCAAAAUGACUUAUCGGGUCAUCACAUAAACAGAUUAUUAAAUUAUAAGAACAUAUAUUAUAGUUCGUGGGGGGUGGGGGGUGGGGGGGUCUUGGAACAAUGCUAAAAUCGUUUCUAUGUGAAUUAUUGAUUCUAAAUUCAAGUCAUAAAAUCAGCCACUGAGGUUAAUGUCAGGUUAGAUUACAUGCAUCGUUCCUCUUAAGAUGUCGCCCCGAAUAAUGCGGAAUACUUUGUGUAUCGAGUUAUGUUUAGAUACUACACUUUUAACCAAAAGAUCAAGAAACGAAAGAGCUAGCCGGGUGGCAGGGGGUCCUCUUAUGUUCUUUUCUCUCUCUACUCAACUUCUCAGAUGGUUGAUGUGGCAUGAGAAUUUCCAUUUUGUAACAAUAUUUAUCUUGACUCUUUUACAACACAACGAAAUUAUUGUUAAACUAAGGGCCUGUUUGGAAAUGAUUGUAUAAUUACUAGGAUAGUAAUUACAUGGUCUAGUAAUAACCAAGACUUGUUUAUUUGUCACAAAGUAAUAACAAUGUAAUUUUUAAUGUCAUAUUUGAUUGUACAAAUGUAAUUACAUAAUUAGAUAUUUAAAUAAUAUUUUUGUAUAAAUAUAUUAAAUAAUUAUAAGUAAAUAAUAAUUGGUACUUUUAAAUAAAUUAUAUUUUAACUCAAAUUAAUUGAUAAAGAUUUCAAGAACAAAUUUAAAUCUCUUAUCAACUUAUGUGAAUAUAACAUGAAAUACAUAACUAUUGCAUUGUUUAAAUUUUAAAAUAUAAUGAUAUGAGUUUAUAAAAAAAAUUAAUAAUAAAUAUUUAUACUAAUUAAUGGAAGUCAAUGCUAGUAAAAUGCGAAAAGAGAACCAGAAUUUGUAUGCAAACAGAAUAAUUACUAUAGGUGAAUUAUAGUACUGGUGAGAAAAUAAGAACCCGUAUUUGCAGAGUGCUAAAUAACGAAAAUAAGAAAAAAUUAAGAAGGAAGAAGGAACGAAUAAUACAUACCCGAAAUGGAAGUGAUCAACUUUGGAAAGAAAAGUGAGAAGACGGAAGAAAUGGGAGAGUUUUGAAAGGAAAAAAAAGAAUUGGAAAAUCAGUUUGUAAUUGGAGAGUGUAGUUACCUCCGAUUCUUAGCUCUCCCUAGA